rnacentral:rRNA from 1 species
AGUGAACGCUGGCGGUAGGCCUAACACAUGCAAGUCGAACGGCAGCACAGUAAGAGCUUGCUCUUACGGGUGGCGAGUGGCGGACGGGUGAGGAAUACAUCGGAAUCUACUUUUUCGUGGGGGAUAACGUAGGGAAACUUACGCUAAUACCGCAUACGACCUACGGGUGAAGGCAGGGGAUCUUCGGACCUUGCGCGAUUGAAUGAGCCGAUGUCGGAUUAGCUAGUUGGCGGGGUAAAGGCCCACUAAGGCGACGAUCCGUAGCUGGUCUGAGAGGAUGAUCAGCCACACUGGAACUGAGACACGGUCCAGACUCCUACGGGAGGCAGCAGUGGGGAAUAUUGGACAAUGGGCGCAAGCCUGAUCCAGCCAUACCGCGUGGGUGAAGAAGGCCUUCGGGUUGUAAAGCCCUUUUGUUGGGAAAGAAAAGCAGCAGGUUAAUACCCCGCUGUUCUGACGGUACCCAAAGAAUAAGCACCGGCUAACUUCGUG